UGAGUUUGAUCCUGGCUCAGAACGAACGCUGGCGGCGUGCUUAACACAUGCAAGUCUAACGGGAACGCUCCUUCGGGGGCUAGUACAGUGGCGGACGGGUGAGUAAUGCAUAGGAACGUGCCCCUGGGUGGGGAAUAACCGGAGGAAACUCCGGCUAAUACCGCAUGUAUCUACGGAUAAAAGGCGGCUUAGACUUCGGUCUGAGCUGUUGCCAAGGGAUCGGCCUAUGUCGCAUUAGCUAGUAGGUGAGGUAAAGGCUCACCUAGGCGACGAUGCGUAGCUGGUCUGAGAGGAUGAUCAGCCACACUGGGACUGAGAUACGGCCCAGACUCCUACGGGAGGCAGCAGUGGGGAAUUUUGCACAAUGGGGGAAACCCUGAUGCAGCAACGCCGCGUGGGUGAAGAAGGCCUAACGGUCGUAAAGCUCUUUCGCUAGGAAAGAAGGGCUCUGCGGUUAAUACCCGUAGAGUUUGACGGUACCUAGAUAAGAAGCACCGGCUAAUUUCGUGCCAGCAGCCGCGGUAAUACGAAAGGUGCGAGCGUUGUUCGGAUUGACUGGGCGUAAAGCGCAUGCGGGCGGGCUUGCAAGUCAGAUGUGAAAUCCCUGGGCUCAACCUAGGAAUGGCAUCUGAAACUGCAGGUCUUGAAUAUCUAAGGGGUUAUCGGAAUUCCAGGUGUAGCAGUGAAAUGCGUAGAUAUCUGGAGGAACACCGGAGGCGAAGGCGGAUAACUGGUAGAAUAUUGACGCUCAGAUGCGAAAGCGUGGGUAGCAAACAGGAUUAGAUACCCUGGUAGUCCACGCCCUAAACGAUGAAUACUAGCUGUUUGGGAAUAUUCAUUCCUGAGUGGCGCAGC
rnacentral:rRNA from 1 species